rnacentral:rRNA from 1 species
GUACGUAGGGUGCAAGCGUUAAUCGGAAUUACUGGGUGUAAAGCGUGCGCAGGCGGUUUUGUAAGAACGAGGUGAAAUCCCCGGGCUCAACCGGGGAACUGCCUUUGUGACUGCAAGGCUCGAGUGCGGCAGAGGGGGAUGGAAUUCCGCGGGUAGCGGUGAAAUGCGUAGAUAUGCGGAGGAACACCGAUGGCGAAGGCAAUCCCCUGGGCCUGUACUGACGCUCAUGCACGAAAGCGUGGGGAGCAAACAGGAUUAGAUACCCUGGUAGUCCACGCCCUAAACGAUGUCAACUGGUUGUUGGGUCUUCAUUGACUCAGUAACGAAGCUAACGCGUGAAGUUGACCGCCUGGGGAGUACGGCCGCAAGGUUGAAACUCAAAUGAAUUGACGGGG